AGGACGAACGCUGGCGGCGUGCUUAACACAUGCAAGUCGAGCGGUAAGGCCUUUCGGGGUACACGAGCGGCGAACGGGUGAGUAACACGUGGGUGAUCUGCCCUGCACUUCGGGAUAAGCCUGGGAAACUGGGUCUAAUACCGGAUAUGACUUCAGGUUGCAUGACUUGGGGUGGAAAGAUUUAUCGGUGCAGGAUGGGCCCGCGGCCUAUCAGCUUGUUGGUGGGGUAAUGGCCUACCAAGGCGACGACGGGUAGCCGACCUGAGAGGGUGACCGGCCACACUGGGACUGAGACACGGCCCAGACUCCUACGGGAGGCAGCAGUGGGAAUAUGCACAAUGGGCGAAAGCCUGAUGCAGCGACGCCGCGUGAGGAUGACGGCCUUCGGGUUGUAAACCUCUUUCAGCAGGGACGAAGCGCAAGUGACGGUACCUGCAGAAGAAGCACCGCUAACUACGUGCCAGCAGCCGC
rnacentral:rRNA from 1 species